GAGCUUUGUUUAAAUAGUCGCUAGUGUCGGAAAGUGCUCACUGAAAACAGUGGUAUUGUGGAAAUCAGUUGGGAAUAAACUGCGUAGAUUUGAGCAGGAAACUUUAGAAAAAUGCUCACUUAUCUAAGGAACCCAAUAUCUGGGUACGAAUACUCUUUUUGGCCUGACGCAAAAUUCUUCUACCACUACAAAAUCUAUCGACCUCUGAGCUUUCACUCAGAUUGGCCAAUUACAGCAAGAGAAUGGUACCCAGAGUACUGGCCCAGUUAUCAUUCAUACUGGCACUAUCUUAGAGAUGUACCAAGCGAGGAAUCCUUCAGACAGCUCAGGGUUAAGAACAAUCUGUAUUGGUCUGAUACACUGGUCUCAUAGGAUUGAGAGAUAAACCGGCAAUGUUGGUGAAGAAGAACUGACAUUUGAUCGAAUAUAUGUAUAUAUAGGUUAUUUAUUGCUGCCGAAUGUAUAUUUUUAUAUUACGAUGUUUCAAUAAAGAUUUGAAAUAAUUAAAAA